rnacentral:rRNA from 1 species
GAUGAACGCUGGCGGCGUGCCUAAUACAUGCAAGUCGAGCGAACGGACGAGAAGCUUGCUUCUCUGAUGUUAGCGGCGGACGGGUGAGUAACACGUGGAUCACCUCCCUAUAAGACUGGGAUAACUUCGGGAAACCAGAUCUAAUACCAGAUAAUAAUUUGAACCGCAUGAUUCAAAAGUGAAAUGCGGUCUUGCUGUUACUAAUUGGUGGUGCGUCGCUGCAUUAACUAGUUGGUAAGGUAACGGCUUACCAAGGCAACGAUGCAUAGCCGACCUGAGAGGGUGAUCGCCCACACUGGAACGGAGAAACGGUCAAGACUCCUACGGGAGGAGGCAGUAGGGAAUUUUCGGCAAUGGGGGAAGGCCUGACGGAGAAACGCGGCGUGAGUGAGGAAGGUUUCCGGAUCUUAAACUUCUGUUAUUAGGGAAGACCAUAUGUGUAAGUAACUGUGCACACCUUGACGGUACCUAACCAGAAAGCGACGGCUAACUACGUG